rnacentral:rRNA from 1 species
UACGUAGGGGGCAAGCGUUAUCCGGAUUUACUGGGCGUAAAGGGAGCGUAGGCGGCGGAGCAAGUCAGAAGUGAAAGCCCGGGGCUCAACCCCGGGACGGCUUUUGAAACUGCCCUGCUUGAUUUCAGGAGAGGUAAGCGGAAUUCCUAGUGUAGCGGUGAAAUGCGUAGAUAUUAGGAGGAACACCAGUGGCGAAGGCGGCUUACUGGACUGACAAUGACGCUGAGGCUCGAAAGCGUGGGGAGCAAACAGG